UACGUAGGUGGCAAGCGUUGUCCGGAUUUAUUGGGCGUAAAGAGCUCGUAGGCGGCUUGUUGCGUCGGCUGUGAAAACCCAUGGCUCAACCGUGGGCUUGCAGCCGAUACGGGCAGGCUAGAGUUCGGUAGGGGAGACUGGAAUUCCUGGUGUAGCGGUGAAAUGCGCAGAUAUCAGGAGGAACACCGGUGGCGAAGGCGGGUCUCUGGGCCGAUACUGACGCUGAGGAGCGAAAGCGUGGGGAGCGAACAGG
rnacentral:rRNA from 1 species